UGUAGCUGAUGGCUGGUCUCCUGUGAGUGUCAUUAUUAAUGAUGGUUACUGAACUGCCCUAAUUGUUUAAUUAGGUUGGGUUGGAUGAGAUGUGACAGCUGCAGAGUGAUUCAUGUUUACGAGUUUCCCGCCAUCAUGACGGCCUGUCGGUGGGUGCGAGAAGUGAUGAGGCCUUUGGCAGGCAAGCCGGCAUCUGUCGUCCGCGUCACGGGGCUGUGUUGAACAGCGGUCAGCUACGAGCAGAUGUACAAUACUGUAAAUACUGGCCAAAAUCUUUAAGGCACUUCCAAGCUGACAGCUGUAAGACAUAAUCCAAUCAUCGUGUCCUGGGUCCUCUUCUGGGAGACAUCAUGACCAGACCCUUAAACCACCUCAACUGGCUCCUUUCAGUGCACAAGGGCAGCAACUCUACACACCCUUAGUCUAUAAGGGUCAACACCCAACACAUUUCAUCAUAAUAUCAUAAACAGAAACGGUUUUAAAAGACAGUCCUGGCCAGAUCCAACAUGCUCUACUGCCAAGACUGUGGACGCAUCUUUCACACUGGUUGAAUAGAAUCAGCUUGCAUAAGCGGGCCAGUACAAAAUGCACAUGGACUUUCAUUGUAUGACCAUAAAUUAGUCAGUUUAAGUCAAUUAAAAUAUUAUUCAGAGAAACAAGGUUUGUAUCGCUUAACGCGUCACCACACAUGCACCCGAUGAAACGGUCUAUAGGGUCAGUUUCCUGGACAGGGAUUAGAUUAAUCCAGGACUAGUUAUAUUAGGACAUUUAAGUAGUUUUACUAACAUACAAAAAACAUUACUGAUGUGCAAAUUGAAACAAAACAAUAGCACUGAUAUAUUUUUUAUAAUGGGGACAUAUAAUAAAAAUCUGACUUUUUUCAUGUUUAAGUGCUAUAAUUGGUUCCCCAGUGCUUCUAUCAACCUAGAAAAUGGGAAAAAGAUCAACCCAGUGACUUGGGGUGCUUUCUCACCUGCCUUAUUUAGUCUGGUUGAAUUGUAUUCAAGUUUGAUAGCCCACUUGGUACGGUUUGUUUGGGCAUGUAAGAAUGCAGCAAUCGAACUCAUGUGCGCACCAAAAGCGGACAAAACAAGCGGACCGAGGUCUCAGUACGCUUUCAAACGAACUCUGGAGCGGUUUGUUUGUGGUGAGAAUACGAUUAGACCUCGAACAGACCUGAUUGCAAAAAGUGCUGCUCAUUUUUUUACUUGUCCAGCUGCU